CCCUAUGAUGACCCGUUAUUAUAUUGUAGAGUAGUCGUGCACCAUUCUGGCAGGCUCAGAUAGUGACACUUCCUUAGACAGUAACACUAUGGCAGCCUCUAAGGGAGUCCUCCAGUGAUGGUUCCCCACCACCAUCUACAAAAAGGAUGCCCCACAGUGCCAGAGGAAAGCUGGGUACCCUCCAAGCUUUACGGUCCCAGAAAUACACUCUUGCACAGCUACAC